AUGGACACGCUUGGUUCCACUCUCCUGCUGCUGACGCUCCCUUCCUGGGUUCUGUCCCAGGUCACCCUGAAGGAGUCCGGCCCUGGGCUGCUGAAACCCACCCAGACCCUGUCGCUGACCUGCUCCUUCUCCGGGUUCUCAAUGAGCACUACUAAUAUGGGUGUGGGCUGGAUCCGCCAGCCUCCAGGGAAGGCCCUGGAGUGGCUCAUAAACAUAUGGUCGAAUGAUGCUAAGUAUUACAACCCAUCUCUGAAGAGCCGGCUCACAAUCUCCAAAGACACCUCCAAAAACCAAGUGUUUCUAACUCUGACCAACAUGGACCCUGCAGACACAGCCAUGUAUUACUGUGCACAUGCAGCACAGAGACACAGCACAGGGGACCUUCUGUACAAGAACCCGGGCUGA